rnacentral:lncRNA from 1 species
UUGAGUUUUCUUCAAAAAAUAAAGAGCCAUUAAUCAUGAAAAAUAGUGGCGUCUUCAAAAAAAAAAGAAAAAAAAAAUUUAAAAGAUAAGUUCUCUAAGUACCUUAUUAACAAUGAAGUGAGCCCCGAUAAUGGUAAUUUUUCAAUAAGGAAUAGUAGUGGAUACCUAACUCCAAUUUAGCCUACUUUCCCCAAAAUUAUCCCACCAUUUACCUAAGCCAAGUUAUAACCCUCAAGACCUCAAAAAUGUGUGCAAUGUAUUUACUUUGAUUGACGUUCAGAAUUGUUUCAAGCUUAUGGUAAAAUAGCAUUUGCAUGUUGAUGGAGUGAAUACCCUGUCAAAAAUUGAGUGAAUUAGUGAGUGAGAGAUAAGGUUGAACUUUGUACAUCGUGUGGAACAGUCAUUGGACUAAAUCUGAUUGAAGUCUCGGAAGCCAGAGUGCUAAUUGAGCAGAAUCACUGAAGUUAAGACCGGUGGUUCUAUUGCCGGAUGAAGAGAAUAAGGCUUAUGAGAUUUUUAUCAUUCAAAUUAAUUUGUUAAUUCCCUGACAGUUUUGUUUUGACAGGUAUGUCACUUGAGGACAAGUAACAGUUCAAGUUUGGGGUUGUGAUGACAGCAGUCAUUUGCUAAUUUUAAUUCCAAUUUUAGUGUUUUUAAUUAGUUUUUAGUAGUAAUUCAUGGUCAAAGAGAAGAAUAUUUAAAGAAAUUGACAUAGCAAGAAGUUUGAAGACAAAAGUUGAAAAGAAGAAAAAUACUUAAAAAAAUGGGAAGUUUUGAAGCAUUUUAUGUCUGGAGCUACUGUAUUUUUCGUGGGGCUACUUAUUUCAAUCGUAGCGCGAUUUUGCCAAUGCCAGAUAGAUCAAAACGUGUG